rnacentral:rRNA from 1 species
AGUACGUGAAAUUGUUGGAAGGGAAACGCUUGAAGUCAGACUUGCUUGCCGGAGCUUGCUUCGGUUUGCAGGCCAGCAUCAGUUUUCCGGGGUGGAUAAUGACGGUUUGAAGGUAGCAGUCUCGGCUGUGUUAUAGCUUUCCGUUGGAUACGCCCUGGGGGACUGAGGAACGCAGCGUGCUUUUUGCGAAAGACUCGUCUUUUUCACGCUUAGGAUGCUGGUGGAAUGGCUUUAAACGACCCGUCUUGAA